UGCUUGUGUGUGCUUCUGCCUA
rnacentral:piRNA from 1 species